rnacentral:rRNA from 1 species
AACGUAGGAGACAAACGUUAUCCGGAGUUACUGGGCGUAAAGGGCGUGUAGGCGGUUUGUUAAGUCUGGCGUGAAAGCUCUCGGCUAAACCGGGAGAGGUCGUUGGAUACUGGCAAACUAGAGGACGGUAGAGGCGUGUGGAAUUCCGGGUGUAGUGGUGAAAUGCGUAGAGAUCGGGAGGAACACCAGAGGCGAAGGCGGCGACCUGGACGAAUACUGACACUCAACUGCGAAAGCGUGGGGAGCAAACAGG